UCGAGGAUCUUCGGCAAUGGACGAAAGUCUGACCGAGCAACGCCGCGUGUGCGAUGAAGGCCUUCGGGUUGUAAAGCACUGUCGAGGGGAAACAAGCCGUAAGGUUGAGUGACCCCUGGAGGAAGCACGGGCUAAGUUCGUGCCAGCAGCCGCGGUAAUACGGAGGGAGCUAGCGUUGUUCGGAAUUACUGGGCGUAAAGAGGACGUAGGCGGGGAUUCAGGUCAGAGGUGAAAGCCUGGAGCUCAACU
rnacentral:rRNA from 1 species